rnacentral:rRNA from 1 species
CCCUUAGAUGUUCUGGGCCGCACGCGUGCUACACUGACCGGCGCAACAAGCUUUUUUCCUUGGCUCGACAGGCCUGGGUAAUCUUUGAACGCCAGUCGUGAUGGGGAUAGAUUCUUGCAAUUUUUGAUCUUCAACGAGGAAUUCCUAGUAAACGCGAGUCAUCAACUCGCAUUGAUUACGUCCCUGCCCUUUGUACACACCGCCCGUCGCACCUACCGAUUGAAUGGUCCGGUGAACCCUCCGGAUCGGCCCGCGCCAACGCAAGUUGAGCAAAGGCCGAGAAGUUGGGUAAACCUUACCAUUUAGAGGAAGGUGAAGUCGUAACA